GGUAGAGCCAUAUAAAACUAAGGAGAAACCAUUUUAGGAUGAGGGAACAAACCCUGAAGGUGUGAACAAGCUCGGUGCAUCUAGACAUGUAAGGAAGGUUCCAGCAUGUGAAGGAGCGAGGACGGAGAAGGGUCCGGUGAGGUCUUACAGCAACAGAGGGUCCAGCCACAUGAGGCUGAGCAGCCAAGUGAUCUGCCUAGGCCAGCUCCCCUUCAUCUUCUGCCAUGAGUGGAAGCAGCCUGAGGCCCUCACCAGAAGCAGAUGUUGGCACUAUGCUUCUUAGACAGCCUGCAAAACUCUGGGAAAGCGGAAAUCUGGAGAACUAAAAUAUCUUGCUGAAGAUCACAAUGCAGUAAAGCAUAGGGCAAGUUUCCAACUCGAACAUCACCCCAGAACACUUCCUUUUAAACAUAAAUUAUGUUGCUAACUUUUUUAUUGUUACUUAGCAGGCAGAUUUCAAACUGAUACAAAUGUUGAAAAUGAUACAAAAUGUUUUCCCACCUUAAAGGCAUUCUGAAACCUAGCACAUAACAUCUGUCACUGAAGUCCAUAGUUUCCAAUGCCAUGAUUGGAUAAAGACCCUAUUGAGACUCAUGUGUUUGUCUCUCACUGCUUAAAACACUCAUGUGUUUUAAGCAACAUGACAAGCACAAAAGAGAACAAGUACUGCUCCUGCUCUCCAGGAAGUUACCAUAAAAUAAAGGGGAUAAGGUGCCUUCCAAAGAAAAAACAAAUACUAGGAGAGGUCAGAGGAGAAGAGAGAUUAUUCCAGAAGGAGAGACUGAGGCAGAUUUCAGGAGGGAAGAAUAUAAGAGUCCCAAAAGAAGAAACAGGAACCCAGGUUAGAGAGCAAUGGGCAAGGGGUAGGAGGUGAGACUAAACUCACAAGGAAGUUGCUUCAAAACAAUAGUGCCCCAAAUGCCAAGCUGAUGGGUUGGACCCAUUUAGGAAAAACCCACAAAGUCCACAGGAGAGCAGACUGCACUUCCAUGAGCUUCAAGCUGUAAACAGUAACCUCAAAUAAAACUUUUCCCGGAUCGGUAAUUUCCAUCCUGAACAAUGGCCAAGUCAAGGAAGCUGAGGAUCGAGCCCCCUACCGCAUGCCACAAAGAACCUCAAGGGACCCCAUGCUCUGGGGAGCUCGCAGGAGGACCAGCACAGAGGUGUGACUGCGUUGGGGCAGGGUGGCCACAUGUACAAUGUUGUACCUUCCAAUGUUCCUCCUUAGGCUGUGCUUAUGAAGUCCCAACAUGUCUUCUGGGCUGUGUUUUCAACCAAGAGAGUUAAUAAAAAGUGGGAUGGGCACCAACUAUGCCUCCAGAGACAUCAGGCAGAAUAUGCCACAGCGUGCCAUGUCCUCCUGCAAACAGUCAGAAAGAAAAGAUCUCUAAAAGCAGAUUGGAAGAGACUAUAUAUACAGAGCGAGUGCCGGUACAGAAGUUUUGCUGCAAAUACACCCUCUAAUCCCUUGCAACCCACUGCAAGCUCGAGAGACCAGUGCCCUUGGUAAAACAUAGGAGAGAUCAUUAAUUAAAGCCUAGGCCCUUUCUUUGAUCCUGAGGGAUAAGGCUUGGGAAAAUGCACAGUGAUAAAAGUGAACAUUUUAAAAGAGCAGAGUGAGUGUGAAUUCCCAAAGAGACCAUUCAUAUCAAGACCCAAGCCAUGAGAAAAUGCUACAAUGCCCUUGAUCAAUACUUUAUAGGCAUUUUGACCUCAGAUCUAAUCCCAUGAGGCUUAGACCAAGACCUUGCUUGAUGCAGACCUCUCUGACUGCUGAAAUUGGUCAGGAGCUCAGUGAUGAAAAUUUGGAAAGUCAAUGCUGAUACCUGAAGAAAGUCCCAUCAGAGAUCUGUGACCUGAAUCUUCAUAACUUUCACAGGCCCUUUCUAAAUGCCAAGGAGGAUGUGUGUGGAGAAGAAUAUGCCACCUAUGGCAUCCCAAUAUGCCUGUGCCCGCCUGCUCUUCAACAAGGGAAUGAAACCUGGGUAUUCUCAUAGGUUUUUUAAAGCACUUGUCCACAUAUUUUAUUCCGCAAAUAACACAAUUUAAAAUUCAGCUAGAAUUUGCCAUUUUCUGUCAGGGUUGUGCAUUUCUUCCAGUCACCAUGACUUCCUGAGAUAGCCAAAACACAAAAUUUAAAUUGUGUUUAAAUUAAAUAAACACAAUUUAUGCUGAAGCU
rnacentral:lncRNA from 1 species